GAAUUGAUCUGGUUCAGGAUGAACGCUAGCUACAGGCUAACACAUGCAAGUCGAGGGCAGCAUUAGAUUAGCUGCUAAUUAGAUGGCGACCGGCGCACGGGUGAGUAACGCGUAUCCAACCUUCCCCCUGCUCAGGGAUAGCCCGGUGAAAACCGGAUUAAGACCUGAUAGUUUCACUAGAUGGCAUCUGACGGUGAAUAAAGGUUUCGGCAAGGGAUGGGGAUGCGUCUGAUUAGCUUGUUGGCGGGGUAACGGCCCACCAAGGCGACGAUCAGUAGGGGUUCUGAGAGGAAGGUCCCCCACAUUGGAACUGAGACACGGUCCAAACUCCUACGGGAGGCAGCAGUGAGGAAUAUUGGUCAAUGGGCGGAAGCCUGAACCAGCCAAGUAGCGUGCAGGAAGACGGCCCUAUGGGUUGUAAACUGCUUUUGUGCGGGAAUAAAGUCAGGGACGCGUCCCUGUUUGCAUGUACCGCAAGAAUAAGGACCGGCUAAUUCCGUGCCAGCAGCGGC
rnacentral:rRNA from 1 species